rnacentral:rRNA from 1 species
AUUGAGCGCUGGCGGCAGGCCUAACACAUGCAAGUCGAGCGGAUGAAGGGAGCUUGCUCCUGGAUUCAGCGGCGGACGGGUGAGUAAUGCCUAGGAAUCUGCCUGGUAGUGGGGGAUAACGUCCGGAAACGGGCGCUAAUACCGCAUACGUCCUGAGGGAGAAAGUGGGGGAUCUUCGGACCUCACGCUAUCAGAUGAGCCUAGGUCGGAUUAGCUAGUUGGUGGGGUAAAGGCCUACCAAGGCGACGAUCCGUAACUGGUCUGAGAGGAUGAUCAGUCACACUGGAACUGAGACACGGUCCAGACUCCUACGGGAGGCAGCAGUGGGGAAUCUUCCACAAAGGGCGAAAGCCUGAUGCAGCAACGCCGCGUGUGUGAAGAAGGUCUUCGGAUUGUAAAGCUCUGUAAGUUGGGAGGAAGGACAGUAAGUUAAUACAUUGCUGUUUUGACGGUACCAACAGAGAAAGCACCGGCUAACUUCGUG